rnacentral:lncRNA from 1 species
AAAAAUAAUUUAUUAAAAAAAUUUCGGUCAUUUGUUCCCAAGUAGUAAUUGACCCUCGUGGUAAUGAGUUCAACCACUGUUUAGCUUUGUUCCUUAAUGAAAAGGGAAACAACUGAAGACGUAUGGAAUCAUAAGAAACGCCAUUGAUUUUAAAUGUAUCGCAAAAUUCCAGAAAGUUUGCUAAGUGAGUGUUGGGAUCUUCAUCCUGCAAACCAUCAAACUGAACAAAUUGUUGUAUCAUUUGAAUAGUAUUAG